AAAAUAAAGGCAUGUGCACACCUCAGCUCUCAUCCACUCUCAAACCCCUGUGCACUUAUCGUAGGCYUGGUGGGAUGGGCUGACCKUCGCAGGUCGGCCUUGAAAGCCUCGCCUAUGUCUYAUUACAAACGCUUCAGUUCAGAAUGUAAUCAAGUUGCUUUAAUGCAAAUKAAAUA
rnacentral:misc_RNA from 1 species